rnacentral:misc_RNA from 1 species
GCUUACCUGUCCCGAUGGUAUUCAUUAGCCACGUUAAUUGUUUUCGUCUCGCGUUCUUAUGGGGCGUGAGAUGAACUAGUUGGUGCCUUGCGUGUUCCUUUNUGAGCCACUGGCUUAUGACUUGGCCCACGCUUGGUAGCUGAUUCUCUCGGAUGCUGAAAAUUAUGUGGGCAGAGGAUUCAAACCCCUUCAUUACAAGCCCGGGCCCUGCGCUCGUCGCUCAAACCGAAAGACGUCGCUCCUCGCCUUGGCCUUACUGAACCAUCGGUUCUUGUAAUAGCCAUGCGUUGUGCUGUCGUCUCGAGGAAAGCUACCUGGUUGAUCC